AGUGAACGCUGGCGGUAGGCCUAACACAUGCAAGUCGAACGGCAGCACAGUAAGAGUUUGCUCUUACGGGUGGCGAGUGGCGGACGGGUGAGGAAUACAUCGGAAUCUACUUUUUCGUGGGGGAUAACGUAGGGAAACUUACGCUAAUACCGCAUACGACCUACGGGUGAAAGCAGGAGAGCUUCGCACCUUGCGCGUUUGUAUUAGCCGAUGUCGGAUUGGCUAGUUGGCGGGGUAAAGUCACACCAAGGCAAGGAUCCGUAGCUGGUCUGAAAGGAGGAUGAGCCACACUGGAACGAAGACACGGUCAGGAUUCUUACGGAAGGCAGCGGGGGGAAAUAUAGGAAAUUGGGGGAAAGCCUAAGCCAGCCAUACCGGUGGGGUGAAGGAGGCCUUCGGGUGGAAAGCCCUUUUGUUAGUAAAGAAAAGCAGCAGGUUAAUACCCCGCUGUUCUGACGGUACCCAAAGAAUAAGCACCGGCUAACUUCGUG
rnacentral:rRNA from 1 species